rnacentral:rRNA from 2 species
UGGGGAAUAUUGCACAAUGGGCGCAAGCCUGAUGCAGCCAUGCCGCGUGUAUGAAGAAGGCCUUCGGGUUGUAAAGUACUUUCAGCGGGGAGGAAGGGAGUAAAGUUAAUACCUUUGCUCAUUGACGUUACCCGCAGAAGAAGCACCGGCUAACUCCGUGCCAGCAGCCGCGGUAAUACAGAGGGUGCAAGCGUUAAUCGGAAUUACUGGGCGUAAAGCGCACGCAGGCGGUUUGUUAAGUCAGAUGUGAAAUCCCCGGGCUCAACCUGGGAACUGCAUCUGAUACUGGCAAGCUUGAGUCUCGUAGAGGGGGGUAGAAUUCCAGGUGUAGCGGUGAAAUGCGUAGAGAUCUGGAGGAAUACCGGUGGCGAAGGCGGCCCCCUGGACGAAGACUGACGCUCAGGUGCGAAAGCGUGGGGAGCAAACAGG